CUCGGACUGCACAAGAACGAACAUAAUGGCGUGUUUAUAUCAAACGUCGUAUUGUUCCUUUGUCACUUUAAAUCUAUCGAACUAUUUAACUUCACAAGUUUAUAGGCCGUGUCCGAGUUGAAGCCGGAGAAGAUGACGUAAGGCCACCAAAUGUAAGUGAACCUUGAAGGCCACGAUGACGACAAAGCACCUGCACUUCUGGACGGGAGCAGUCGUGAUGGCCCCCCCGUCCAGUUUGCCAAGUGAGGUCUUUGCUGGGAUGGUGUGAUCAGGACUUCCCUGUCCACUUCAGUGUGAUCCAAAGACUUGAAUGAAAUGCAGGUGUGUCCCGAGUCAGGGUCUGCAUCCUUCAAAGGGGAAAUUUGUAGACUGCUUACAUCACAGAUGUAGAUGUGGUGGUGCAGUUCUGCUAACUUCCACUGUUCUCUCCAUCUGGUGUUGACCCAGGUGGCCUUGGAAGUAUCGGCUGAGCAGCUCGUGGGCUUGCAUGACAAAGGGGCGUCUUGACUUUAGGCGCACGUGUCGUUCUGUUUCUGUGACGGUCUUAUGAAAGUAGAAUAACUUGUCAUGUUUGUUAAUAACUUGAUGACAUGCAUAUAUUGGUGUAUAAAUAAAAUGUAGGGUAACUUGUAAAUUGGUGUUAAACUAACAAGUAGAACAGUAGGUUAGUUUGCGAUUGAAUAAAUGACUGCUGGACGUGGAAAAGAAAGCCACUAAAGUAUGGAUGUGACCUCUGCUUAGAUGGAAGAUGUCAUCUGACAGAAAUAGUUAAUAAAGAAAACCUCUCACAAAGA